ACAAAGAAGAGUUUGAUCCUGUCUCAGGAUGAACUCUAGCGGCAGGCUUAACACAUGCAAGUCGAGGGGCAGCGCGAGGUAGCCAUACUUUGGCGGCGACCGGCGAAAGGUUGCGUAACGCGUGAGCAACUUGCCCGUAUCUGGGACAUAAGCGGUGGAAACGCCGUCUAAUUUCCCAUAACA
rnacentral:rRNA from 1 species